rnacentral:lncRNA from 1 species
GAAUUUACAUGAUUUAAAAAAAAUUACGUGUGAGAGUAAUUAUUUUAAAAUGCACAUUUUAGGCUUGAAGUAGAACAUGUGAUGAUGAGAAAAAUUAUUAAAAAACAGGAUGACCAAAUUGAGCGGCUUGAGAAAAUCCUGCAGCAUUCAAGUUUGAUGCUGCAGGUGUUUGAGAGCUAGAUGAAGGUAUGUUGCCAAAAUUUAUGAAUUAAAUUCAAAUCAUUGAUUUCUGAAAUAAACUCUAAGUAGUGAACGGUA